rnacentral:rRNA from 1 species
UACGUAGGGUCCGAGCGUUAAUCGGAAUUACUGGGCGUAAAGCGCAUGUAGGCGGCAGCGCAAGUCGGGCGUGAAAUCCCACGGCUCAACCGUGGAAGUGCACUCGAAACUGCGCAGCUAGAGUCCUGGAGAGGAAGGUGGAAUGCUUGGUGUAGAGGUGAAAUUCGUAGAUAUCAAGCGGAACACCGGUGGCGAAGGCGGCCUUCUGGACAGU